GACUUAAAAUCACAUCCAUUUUGGUUAUCGGUUCAAGUCCGAUAGUGUGCA
rnacentral:tRNA from 1 species